UCUCCUUUAUCAAGGAACUGGACUUCAUUCUCCUGCAAAAGCUGCUUGAUCUUGACCUGUUGCUGUUUGACCCGGGUCUCAAGCAGGUGCACCUGGGCUCUGAGCCGCACCUGCUCCUGGGCACAGUCCUCGAGCGCCUGCAAAACAGUUCCCAUUUCAGAAUAUUAUUCCAAAGAGAAAGUGGCUUGAAAAGUUCUAAUACUGCCUAACUAUUUGAAGAAUUGGAAAUUAUGGCUUAUGCGAAAACUCCUGGACUCAAAAGAUCAAAUAAUACAAAAUAAUUGGAAUCGCUAUGCUAGGAGCUUUAUAGUUGUCUCCUUUGAUCCUCAUAACAAUUCCUUGCGGUAGGAAAGGGCUCAGUCUUGAUGCCCAUUGGGUAAGCGGAGGUGGGAUUCAAAUUCAGUUCAAGGACUGUGCUCUCAAUCUCUAUAUGACAUUGCUUAUGUGUUUUCUAAACAGUAAUGUGGUUUAUAGAAGUUAAUUGUACUGUUGGCAUGUAAAUCUCCAUAAUAAAUGAGGUUUUUGAAUGG
rnacentral:antisense_RNA from 1 species